AGUGAACGCUGGCGGCAGGCCUAAUACAUGCAAGUCGAACGCCCCGCAAGGGGAGUGGCAGACGGGUGAGUAACGCGUGGGAAUCUACCGUACCCUACGGAAUAACGCAUGGAAACGUGUGCUAAUACCGUAUACGCCCUACGGGGGAAAGAUUUAUCGGGGUAUGAUGAGCCCGCGUUGGAUUAGCUAGUUGGUGGGGUAAAGGCCUACCAAGGCGACGAUCCAUAGCUGGUCUGAGAGGAUGAUCAGCCACAUUGGGACUGAGACACGGCCCAAACUCCUACGGGAGGCAGCAGUGGGGAAUAUUGGACAAUGGGCGCAAGCCUGAUCCAGCCAUGCCGCGUGAGUGAUGAAGGCCCUAGGGUUGUAAAGCUCUUUCACCGAUGAAGAUAAUGACGGUAGUCGGAGAAGAAGCCCCGGCUAACUUCGUGCCAGCCGCCGCCGUAAGAC
rnacentral:rRNA from 1 species